rnacentral:tRNA from 1 species
CAAGAAAUAGUUUAAUUAAAAUAUUAGCUUUGGGAGUUAAUGAUAAGGAAGUUUCUUUUUUCUUGA